CUGGUGUUCCGGUUGUCACGCCAGUGGCAUUGCCGGGUAGCUAUGUUCGGACAGGAUAACCGCUGAAAGCAUCUAAGCGGGAAGCCCCUCCCAAGAUUAGGUCUCACUGGACCCUCGAGGUCCCUGAAGGGCCCUGGAAGACUACCAGGUUGAUAGGCUGGGUGUGGAAGCACGGCAACGUGUGAAGCUAACCAGUACUAAUUGCCCGUGAGGCUUGACCAUAUAACACCCAAGAACUUUGG
rnacentral:rRNA from 1 species